rnacentral:rRNA from 1 species
CACGGGGGGAGCAAGCGUUGUUCGGAAUCACUGGGCGUAAAGGGCGUGUAGGCGGUUCGGUAAGUGAGAUGUGAAAUCCUCCGGCUCACCCGGAGACCUGCAUCUCAAACUGCCGGACUAGAGUAUGGGAGAGGACAAGGGAAUUCCUGGUGUAGCGGUGAAAUGCGUAGAUAUCAGGAGGAACACCGGUGGCGAAGGUGGGUCUCUGGGCCGAUACUGACGCUGAGGAGCGAAAGCGUGGGGAGCGAACAGG